GCCCUCCGGCCUGCCUCCGGGAGGUUCUGGCCGUCCCCUCCGUGGGUUCCGCCGCCAGGAGAAGGAGGGGACGCGGCGAGAGGUAGGCAGUAGCGAGCGGCGGGGCCUUCCCGGCCCGGAAGACGUCGCUCUCUUCUUUGAGCUCCCGAAGGCUCUGCUGGGAGGCUCGGAAGCUGUGAGUGAAGAGACGGAUUCUCCUUCUUCCUACCCUGCGUGCUGGGUCGGAGCAGCUACUUCCGGUCGGACGCGGCGCUUUCGCGGAGGCGAAAAAGGCACCCGCCGAGGUAGGCUGGGCCCAGGCUGGUCCGGAGGACGCCGGCCGGGCUCGUACUCCACGCCGUCUGCCGGGCUCCGGCGCCCUUCGAGGACGCGCCCAUCAGCGCUGAGCCCGCCCCGCGCAUGCGCCCAGUGCGCAGCGCGCGCUUUUCGCAGUGUUAGAAGCGUCUUGCGUCUGACAGGGGCAGCGCUGGGGACCUGAGGGGCGUCUGAUGCUGCUGGAGACCGGCUUGGAGUGAGGGCCGCGGCGAGUCUGCAUUCUGCUUGUGAGAGGGACGCUGAAUGUCAUGUAUUUCAACAAUCCAAAGACAACGUCACACCUAUGUAAGGACACAAGAAAGGUCAGGGAAACAUCAGCAAAUAGAAGGGUGAAGCCUGGUAAGCAAGAUGAGCAUUUCAGGAAGCGGCUGUGGAAGCCCUAAUUCUGCGGAUGCAUCCAAUGACUUCAAGGAACUCUGGACAAAACUAAAAGAGUAUCAUGAUAAGGAAGUGCAAGGUUUACAAGUCAAAGUAACCAAACUGAAAAAGGAACGAAUUUUGUAAGUAUCAGUAUGUAAUACCUAUGUCUUAUUUAUUAAUUAAUUGAUAGUGAUAGCCAGUCUCAUUUUUUAAAAAGCCUUAUGUCUUAGUUAAAAAUAAAUUAGCUUUGAGCUAAUUGUGAUUUUUUAAAAUGUUUUAAAAUAAAAAAGAAUGCCUGAUUUCUAAGUACAGACUUAGUUAACAUGCACAUGUAUAUUUUACUAUAUAUUAUAAUAUAAAAUCAUCUUUUUAUAGAAUAUUUAGUGAAAUGAGAACUGUUUGUGUUUAUCAUUCUUUUCUCUGGGAUAUGAAUUCUUAAUACUCAAAGUAUUACAAAGGGGGAGAAGAAUAAUUGUGAGAUUUCUAAACUUGUAGGAAAUGGAAGCCAAACACGGUGGCAGACACCCUUAAUCUCAGCACUUGAGAGUAGGGGCAGUAGGGUUAUGAGUUUAAGACUAGUUUCUGCUACAUAAUCAGUUUAAGUCCAGCCUAAGCUACAUAAAAACCCUGUCUUAACCAGAGAGGUGUGAGAGGCAUGGUGGCAUUCCUGUACUCUCUCAGGAGUUCUGGGCCAAUCUCAUUUAUAUAGCUUCAGCUACAUGAAAGCGUGUCUUAAACAACAAAGCUGAGCCUUGCACUGCACCCACAGUCCCAGUACGUGGGAGGUAGAAACCAAGAAAAGAAGGAUUUACAGUCCAGGCAGGUGCAUGCUACAUAAGACCGUAUCUCGAAAGAUCACACACAACCACACAACAUGUGUGUAUGCAUGCUAAUGUAUACAUAUACAAAAAAGUGAAUGCCAAAUACAUAUUCUGAUGCUACUUUUAAGAAGUUAAGAGUGACUAGAAGGCCCCCUGAAUUGCUUUGAAUAUUAAACUAUGAAUCAUGUGGUUUUCAAGUUUUAAGUAGGUUUUACUCAUGGUGAUUUACUUUACAGGUUUGACAAUGUGAAAUAGAUGUCAUAAUAGAACAUCAGUACAUAUGACAAAACAGUGUCGUUAUGAUAAGUGAGUUUAUACCCAUAUACCUAGAGGCCUGCCUUGUCUCAUGCUUCUAAUAUCUCUAGACUAUAGCUGAAAUCUAGGCUUACUUACCAUUUAUAUUUAUCU
rnacentral:lncRNA from 1 species